rnacentral:rRNA from 1 species
CCCUUAGAUGUCCUGGGCCGCACGCGCGUUACACUGAUGCAUUCAACGAGCUUAUAACCUUGGCCGAGAGGCCUGGGCAAUCUUGUUAACGUGCAUCGUGAUGGGGAUAGAUUAUUGAAAUUAUUAAUCUUGAACGAGGAAUUCCUAGUAAACGCAGAUCAUCAAUCUGCAUUGAUUACGUCCCUGCCCUUUGUACACACCGCCCGUCGCACCUACCGAUUGGAUGGUCCGGUGAAGCCUCGGGAUUGUGGUUCUUGCCGCUUUAUUGUGGCGUGACCGCGAGAACUCGUCUAAACCUUAUCAUCUAGAGGAAGGUGAAGUCGUAACA